rnacentral:rRNA from 1 species
AGCGAACGCUGGCGGCAGGCCUAACACAUGCAAGUCGAACGAACCCCUCAGGGUUAGUGGCGGACGGGUGAGUAACACGUGGGAACGUACCCUUAGGUUCGGAAUAACUCAGGGAAACUUGAGCUAAUACCGAAUGUGCCCUUCGGGGGAAAGAUUUAUCGCCUUUGGAGCGGCCCGCGUCUGAUUAGCUAGUUGGUGAGGUAAAGGCUCACCAAGGCUACGAUCAGUAGCUGGUCUGAGAGGAUGGCCAGCCACACUGGGACUGAGACACGGCCCAGACUCCUACGGGAGGCAGCAGUGGGGAAUCUUGCGCAAUGGGCGAAAGCCUGACGCAGCCAUGCCGCGUGGAUGAUGAAGGUCUUAGGAUUGUAAAAUCCUUUCACCGGUGAAGAUAAUGACUGUAGCCGGAGAAGAAGCCCCGGCUAACUUCGUGCCAGCCGCCGCAGUAAAAC